rnacentral:rRNA from 1 species
UACGUAGGGUGCGAGCGUUGUCCGGAAUUAUUGGGCGUAAAGAGCUCGUAGGCGGCUUGUCGCGUCGGAUGUGAAAAGCCCCGGGGGCUUAACCCCCGGGUCUGCAUUCGAUACGGGCAGGCUAGAGUUCGGUAGGGGAGGUCGGAAUUCCUGGUGUAGCGGUGAAAUGCGCAGAUAUCAGGAGGAACACCGGUGGCGAAGGCGGAUCUCUGGGCCGAUACUGACGCUGAGGAGCGAAAGCGUGGGGAGCGAACAGG